rnacentral:rRNA from 1 species
CACGUAGGGGGCAAGCGUUGUCCGGAUUUAUUGGGCGUAAAGAGCUCGUAGGUGGUUCGGUAAGUCAGGUGUGAAACCUCCAGGCUCAACCUGGAGACGCCACUUGAUACUGCUGUGACUGGAGUCCGGUAGGGGAGCGUGGAAUUCCUGGUGUAGCGGUGAAAUGCGCAGAUAUCAGGAGGAACACCAGCGGCGAAGGCGGCGCUCUGGGCCGGUACUGACACUGAGGAGCGAAAGCCAGGGGAGCAAACGGG